rnacentral:rRNA from 1 species
UACGUAGGGUGCGAGCGUUAAUCGGAAUUACUGGGCGUAAAGCGCACGUAGGCGGGUCGUUAAGUCAGGGGUGAAAUCCCGGAGCUCAACUCCGGAACUGCCUUUGAUACUGGCGACCUUGAGGCUGGAAGAGGUUAGUGGAAUUCCCAGUGUAGAGGUGAAAUUCGUAGAUAUUGGGAAGAACACCAGUGGCGAAGGCGGCUAACUGGUCCAGAUCUGACGCUGAGGUGCGAAAGCGUGGGGAGCAAACAGG